rnacentral:misc_RNA from 1 species
UCCGGCUUGUCACCGGCAGUCUCAUUAGAGUGCCCAACUAAAUGAUGGCAACUAACAAUAGGGGUUGCGCUCGUUGCGGGACAUAACCCAACAUCUCACGACACGAGCUGACGACAGCCAUGCAGCACCUGUGUUCCCCCCAGCCGAACUGAAAACUCUCAUCUCUGAAAGUCCCAAGGGACAUGUCAAGUGUAGGUAAGGUUCUUCGCGUUGCGUCGAAUUAAACAACAUGCUCCACCGCUUGUGCGGGUCCCCGUCAAUUCCUUUGAGUUUUAAUCUUGCGACCGUACUCCCCAGGCGGUGUGCUUAAUGAUUUCUCUCCGCCGCCGAAGCCCUAAGGACUCCAACAGCUAGCACACAUGGUUUACGGCGUGGACUAC